UACGGCGGGAGCUAGCGUUGUUCGGAAUUACUGGGCGUAAAGCGCACGUAGGCGGCUUUGUAAGUUAGAGGUGAAAGCCCGGGGCUCAACCCCGGAAUUGCCUUUAAGACUGCAUCGCUUGAAUCCAGGAGAGGUGAGUGGAAUUCCGAGUGUAGAGGUGAAAUUCGUAGAUAUUCGGAAGAACACCAGUGGCGAAGGCGGCUCACUGGACUGGUAUUGACGCUGAGACGCGAAAGCGUGGGGAGCAAACAGG
rnacentral:rRNA from 1 species